rnacentral:lncRNA from 1 species
UUAUUUCUUAAAAGCUAAAUUAUAUUAUAUUACAUCCACCUUAGAUCUCUGUUUCUAUCCAAUUCCUUCUUUCCCCAUCUUUCCACUGCCGACCAACCGAUUUUGACGUCAACAACCUCCGUUCGUGGGAAUGGCUGUCGACGGUGAAAAGAAAUAGAUCUGAACGCCGCAUUGUGACUCUAUUUUUGAUGAUGUUGUUCCAUGAAGACCGUCGACUAAGUGAGGCGAGAUGGUCGGUUGGUGAACGUAACCCUAAGAGGCUCAAUCGCCGGCGUGAUCAAAUCUGAGCGGCAACGACACUUGGUCUCGAGACAUGGUGUUGGCUAUUGUUUUCGGUGUUGGCUGUUGUUUUUGGUGUUGAUGGAGGUUAUGUCGUGGUUGUUGGUGUUGAUGGAGGUGAUGUUGUGGUUGUGGUGGCGGUUUCGUGGUUGCAGUGGCGGUGCCGUGGUUGUAGUGGCGGUAAACUUUUGUCCAUUUGGUUGUGGUAGUGAUGCCAUGGUUAUCAUGGAGGUGGUGGUUGGCAGAUUGUUGUGCUGGUGCGAUUGUGUUGACUUACAAUUUUUUCAGAGGUUUCAAAUCAAUGUCUAUAGUUCAAAAAUCAUCUAAAGUUGAUCAUAGAUAAAUGUUCACACGCCCUUGUUUGAGCUCCAAAAUCAUUCAUCCUUUUCAAAAAAAGGCUGCAAAAUGAAUAGGAAACUUGCAGCAAAAGUUCAAUCUGCGACCAGCACAAUAUAUGUUUGAAUGAUAUGAAAAACAAAGGCCACAAAACUAUUUAAAAUUUUGAAACAUCUUACUAAACAACUGAACAUUCAUCAGCUUAUUGGAUUAAUAACCACACGUCAAGAACAAGUUCACUUACAUCUAGUUACGGAUCCAGGAUUUUGAGUCAGUACGGACAGUUGUUGAUCGUCGACCGUCGACCGCAAUAAAAUAUUAAGAGCCCAUUUGAUGUCAUUUUCUUAGCAAAAAAUGCAUUUUGUAUUAGUG